CCUACGUGGAGCUGCAGUGAGGAAUAUUGGUCAAUGGGCGCGAGCCUGAACCAGCCAAGUAGCGUGAAGGAUGACUGCCCUACGGGUUGUAAACUUCUUUUAUAAAGGAAUAAAGUGAGGCACGUGUGCCUUUUUGUAUGUACUUUAUGAAUAAGGAUCGGCUAACUCCGUGCCAGCAGCCGCGGUAAUACGGAGGAUCCGAGCGUUAUCCGGAUUUAUUGGGUUUAAAGGGAGCGUAGAUGGGUUGUUAAGUCAGUUGUGAAAGUUUGCGGCGCAACCGUAAAAUUGCAAUUGAUACUGGCAGUCUUGAGUACAGUUGAGGUAGGCGGAAUUCGUGGUGUAGCGGUGAAAUGCUUAGAUAUCACGAAGAACUCCGAUUGCGAAGGCAGCUUACUAAACUGCCACUGACAUUGAUGCUCGAAAGUGUGGGUAUCAAACAGGAUUAGAUGCCCGAGUAGUC
rnacentral:rRNA from 1 species